GGGUUGCUCAGAAAAGCACUUUCUUUUCUUCUGACAAUUAGGAAGAAUGUAAAAACUUAUCUUCUUGGAUCUGGAUUGCAAUAUGUGUCAGCUCAUGGCUUCAUUCAGGAAAACGAUUGCAGGGGAAUUCUGAUGUCAAGAUGAUGGUAACCACACAAACAUAACUACUGACAGAACUUGAGAAAAGCAUGACUGAAGCUAGCACAUGCCUAUUUAAUGGUCAGUUUCAAGAAAACCAUUGAGGAACAAUCCUUUACUCAUCAUUUGUUGGAUAUCUCUUGUGAAUGCAGUUGGGAGUACCUUCAUCCAUAUUAAUGAAUUUACCGUGAAAAAAAGAGAUGAAUAUUCACUCUCCUAAGCACUAUAKUUAGAUAUAUUUAUUAUAUAUUA